GGAGCGGCGGACGGGUUAGUAACGCGUGGGAACGUACCCAGAUCUAAGGGAUAGCCACUGGAAACGGUGAGUAAUACCUUAUACGCCCUUCGGGGGAAAGAUUUAUCGGAUUUGGAUCGGCCCGCGUUAGAUUAGAUAGUUGGUGGGGUAAUGGCCUACCAAGUCUACGAUCUAUAGCUGGUUUUAGAGGAUGAUCAGCAACACUGGGACUGAGACACGGCCCAGACUCCUACGGGAGGCAGCAGUGGGGAAUCUUAGACAAUGGGCGCAAGCCUGAUCUAGCCAUGCCGCGUGAGUGAUGAAGGCCUUAGGGUCGUAAAGCUCUUUCGCCAGGGAUGAUAAUGACAGUACCUGGUAAAGAAACCCCGGCUAACUCCGUGCCAGCAGCCGCGGUAAUACGGAGGGGGUUAGCGUUGUUCGGAAUUACUGGGCGUAAAGCGCACGUAGGCGGAUCAAAAAGUUAGGGGUGAAAUCCCAGGGCUCAACCCUGGAACUGCCUCUAAAACUCCUGGUCUUGAGUUCCAGAGAGGUGAGUGGAAUUCCGAAUGUAGAGGUGAAAUUCGUAGAUAUUCGGAGGAACACCAUGGCGAAGGCGGCUCACUGGCUCGAU
rnacentral:rRNA from 1 species